ACAGAGCUCACUGGUUCCUGGUGGUGGUCUGUUUUCCGGGUCUGGAGGAGCCUCAGUACGAGGAGUUUCGGCCGACAGGUGGAUUCGAGCGAGCUGCUGAAAAAUCCUCGUUCAGUGUGAGAUCUCAGCAGCUGCCGCCGUGCACUCAGCAGAGCUGCCGGAGGGACGCCGUGUUAAAGAGGCCGUGCAUCCUCGUCAUGGACUCACUGAAGCUGUCCAACCACGACAACGUCUGCAGGCUCCUCCGAGACUACCUGCAGGUGGAGUGGGACGUCCGCCGGGGGACACCUCGUCUCUUCACCACGGAGACCAUGAAGACGAGCAGCUGCAGAGUCCCUCAGCAGGACAACAGCAGCGACUGUGGACUCUACCUGCUGCAGUACACUGAGAGCUUCCUGCAGGUACACACACACACACACA